rnacentral:tRNA from 1 species
GGGGAUAGCUCAAUAGUAGAGCACUUGCCUAGCAUGCAUGAGGCUCUGGGUUCCAUCUCCAGCAUCACUG